UGGCAGCGGUGGGAUUCGAACCCACGCCUCAUUUAGACUGGUGCCUAAAACCAGCGCCUUAGACCACUCGGCAAAAAGCGCC
rnacentral:tRNA from 1 species